UUUUCUUGUACACCCGUCUCCUUCGUCACGCCAAACAGCACCGCCGUGCGCUCCGCUCCUCCUGCUGAUUUGCCCAAACCGGCCGCCGCGGGCCGAGGUAGCCCCUUCGCGCCUCUCCUCCGCGCUUGCCGGCCGCCGCCCCUCAGCCUGAGCUGGCCGUGCCUUGCUCCCUGCCGCGACCUCGCUCCUCUGCCGGAGCUCGCCUCGCCGCCCCGAGCCGGACGUCCCCCGGGCCACUCCUCCACUCGAGCUACCGGCCGCGGGCCGAGCUCGCCCCGACGCGUGCCGCUCCUCCGCUCGAGCCCGCCACGAGCCACCCCCGCGCGCUCCUCCUCGUUGCCUUCCACCUCCUCGCGACCGCUGCCCGCCUUCCUCGACGGCGGCGGCGGCGGUUGCGCGGAGUUCGCGAGAUCCCGGUUCGUUCGUUGCUUCCCCUCCCUAAUUCGAACCCUAGAUCCCAAUUCGUGUCUGACUUCUCGAUUGGACUGCACAAUUUUCAUGGUGGGUGAAGCGAAUAGGUAUUGAUGGUUUGCCCAAUUCGUUCCUAAUUUCUUGGUUGAACUGCUGGAUUCAUGGUGGGAGAGGGGAUUAAAUGCGGAUGUUCUUCUCUAUUCUUUGUGUUUUCCUCCUUCAGCAUUGCAUCACUAUAUUAUUUAUGCAUCUUAUUUUUUUAUUGUGUUUCUUUUGUCAGGGAAAGAACUAGAUGCAUGUCAGGUAACUCUCUUUCCUGAUAGCCUUCUUUGUCAUAACCACACACUAGAAUGCAUUCAAAUAAAACUGCACUACGGUUUCUUUCAAGAACUAUUCUUAUGCUCCUUCAAAACUUUCUAGAAUAAUAUGCAGAGGUGGACAGAUUGUUACUUGAGAUUUGAGAAUAAUAUGCAGUUUUGCUGGUACAUCCUGUAUGGUUCGUUCAGCUUUCCAUUCAUUAUGCUACACUAUUUCAGUUUUUCUUUAUUCUAAGCUAGUAGUAACAAAUCUUGAUAGAUGACAUGAUAAUAGUAGAGCACCACAGUUGUGUUGAACCGAAUAUUUUUUUGGGGGUUGUAAUGUUCAGUAGUGCACACAUUUGCAAUCAUUGUCGAAUUACAUGUUAUGGCUCGAACUCAGCAAUUUUAGAAGGGGGGGUAUCACUGCAGUCAGGUGCAUCCAAGGCCAACCAUACUUCAUAAGUUACCACCUGCUAUGAAAUCGAUGUACCUUUUUUAUUGCGACAGCUUAUCUACUUCUUCAUUUUCUUUGUGCAGCAUGAACUAAGCAUGUGGGAGUCGCAGCAAUAAUAAUAAGCUCGAUCAAUAGGUCUGUUGAGGGUUGAUUUAAAAUGGAUGGCUUCUUACGAUGUGCCAAGGCAACAAAGAACUAAUGAAUCGAAUUUACUUGGCUUGCUGUUUUGGUUGUCAUGGGGAGUGGACUGUAGGCCACUACUAAUAUAAUCUCUCCUGCGCUUAUUUGCCCCCUAUUUGUCUUCAGGAUGGCCCUCCUGAUGUUCUCUUUCUAAUGACCGCAACAAGAACAGGUCUUCCUAAUGCUACAAAGAGCUUGCGGUAGAAAAGCAUGCAGAAGCAAAUCAUCUAGGCAAACUUUUGGUUAGUAGGAUGAGUUGGGGACUUGUAAUAAGUGUGUUUGAUAAGUUGUGGCUGUCACAGUAUUUGUAAUUGUAUUUUGCUAUUUGUGAUUUUGUUUAGUCCGUGAAAACUGAGCAUUAAGGCCCAAAUGGAUUGGGCUUUGUUAAUGACGAAUCAAAUCGAUAUAAUGGAGAUGCUAUAUUAUAUUCUAGUCA